rnacentral:tRNA from 1 species
GGAUGGUCUGUGGUUCAGUAGAAGAACGCUUGCCUGGGGUACAGAAGGUCCUAGGUUCAAUCCCUGGCAUCUCCA